GAUGAAGAACGUAGCGAAAUGCGAUAACUAAUGUGAAUUGCAGAAUUCAGUGAAUCAUCGAGUCUUUGAACGCACAUUGCGCCCCCUGGUAUUCCGGGGGGCAUGCCUGUCCGAGCGUCAUUGCUGCCCUCAAGCACGGCUUGUGUGUUGGGCCCCCGCCCCCCGGCUUCGGGGGGCGGGCCCGAAAGGCAGCGGCGGCACCGCGUCCGGUCCUCGAGCGUAUGGGGCUUCGUCACCCGCUCUGUAGGCCCGGCCGGCGCCCGCCGGCGACCCCAAUCAAUCUUUCCAGGUUGACCUCGGAUCAGGUAGGGAUACCCGCUGAACUUAAGCAUAUCAAUAAGCGGAGGA
rnacentral:misc_RNA from 1 species